rnacentral:pre_miRNA from 1 species
GCACGGAUUAUUGACAUGGCCUUGGUGAGUACAAGGACUGUAGUCUUCAUAAUAAGGGGUGAGCUUAUUGCGAAAUACCAGCUAUAAUUCCGGAUUUGUGCUC